rnacentral:rRNA from 1 species
CUGACGAGUGGCGCACGGGUGAGUAAUGUAUAGCUAACAUGCCCUAUAGAGGGGGAUAGCCACUGGAAACGGUGAUUAAUACCCCAUACUCCUUCUUUAUUAAUUAAAGUUGGGAAAGUUUUUCGCUAUAGGAUUGGGCUAUAUUAUAUCAGUUAGUUGGUAAGGUAAUGGCUUACCAAGACUAUGACGUAUAGCGGGUCUGAGAGGAUGAUCCGCCACACUGGAACUGAGACACGGUCCAGACUCCUACGGGAGGCAGCAGUGGGGAAUAUUGCACAAUGGAGGAAACUCUGAUGCAGCAACGCCGCGUGGAGGAUGACGCAUUUCGGUGUGUAAACUCCUUUUAUAUAGGAAGAUAAUGACGGUACUAUAUGAAUAAGCACCGGCUAACUCCGUGCCAGCAGCCGCGGUAAUACGGAGGGUGCAAGCGUUACUCGGAAUCACUGGGCGUAAAGCGCGCGCAGGCGGUUAAAUAAGUUAGAAGUGAAAUCCUACAGCUCAACUGUAGAACUGCUUCUAAAACUGUUUAACUAGAGUCUGGGAGGGGAAGAUGGAAUUAGUAGUGUAGGGGUAAAAUCCGUAGAGAUUACUAGGA